rnacentral:rRNA from 1 species
UACGGAGGGUGCAAGCGUUAAUCGGAAUUACUGGGCGUAAAGCGUGCGCAGGCGGUUUGUUAAGUCUGUUGUGAAAUCCCCGAGCUCAACGUGGGAAUUGCAAUGGAUACUGGCAGGCUGGAGUAUGGUAGAGGAAGGUGGAAUUCCCGGUGUAGCAGUGAAAUGCGUAGAGAUCGGGAGGAACACCAGUGGCGAAGGCGGCCUUCUGGACCAAUACUGACGCUCAUGCACGAAAGCGUGGGGAGCAAACAGG